CCCCACGCUCACGCGUGGGGCUAACCGCUACCGUCGCUUCGCGACU
rnacentral:sRNA from 1 species